GAUGGACGCUAGCGAUAGGCUUAACACAUGCAAGUCGAGGGGUAACGUGUUGGAAGCUUGCUUCCGAUGACGACGACCGGCGGAUGGGUGCGUAACGCGUAUGCAACUUGCCUCACAGUGGAGAAUAACCCGGAGAAAUCCGGACUAAUACUCCAUACACUCUUAAGUACGCCUGUACAUGAGAGGAAAGAUUUAUCGCUGUGAGAUAGGCAUGCGUCCUAUUAGGUAGUUGGUGAGGUAACGGCUCACCAAGCCGACGAUAGGUAGGGGUGCUGAGAGGCAGAUCCCCCACAUUGGGACUGAGACACGGCCCAAACUCCUACGGGAGGCAGCAGUGAGGAAUAUUGGUCAAUGGAGGAAACUCUGAACCAGCCAAGUCGCGUGAAGGAAGAAUGUCCUAAGGAUUGUAAACUUCUUUAGCGAGCGAGUAAGGACUUCCACGUGAUGGGAGUUUGAAAGUAGCUCGAGAAUAAGUAUCGGCGAACUCCGU
rnacentral:rRNA from 1 species